ensembl:lncRNA novel transcript
GAGGAGCACAGGAAGAUGCCUUUAUCUCAAGAGCUAGGAAAUAAGGCAACUGUAUUAAAUUGUCAAGGGAGGACAGCAGACCAACAAGGAUGAAGAAGCUUGAAAAAUUCUUCAUUGCAGGGUCCACUCAUUGUCUCUAAUGAUUUGCUGCUCCUCAAAAGAAUGUCUACACUCCCGAUCGCCCCUUUUGCCAUGAGAAAAGUUGAUUUUCACUGAACCUUCAGAGGGUGAAGAGGAAGCUUUUCCUUGACUUCUACACAGGCUGGAAAUAAAUAACCUCCGCUUAGGACACCCCUGGCAGGGGCUUUCCAAACCACUUCCAACCCUGGAGAGAAAGAUAAUGAUGUGCCCAAACAACACAUCUGCAGAUGUUCCGUGGAGCAUCAUCACCAAAAAUGCACACGAAACUGCCACUAGAAGCAAAUGGAGGAAGCACACAGCAGGACUGGGUGUCUUUAAUUGCCAUUGCGAACGUGUGUCCAUCUGCACCACGUGAAUGAUUUGCGGCACAGCCGGGACCUGGCUCAGUUCUCUUGACACAUACAUCAACUCACAAGCACUGAAGUGGCAAGGCUGUUUGCAGAAGACAUUUAAGGCAAAAAUAGAUUGCAUCUUAAAAUCUCCUUACAGGACAUAGGUGGCACAUUGAAGAAAGCUUCAAUGCAACAAUAAUUUACAAUAACAUGGGCACAGUAAUGGAAAACAGCAAAGAACUGUGAGGAACUUUGCUGGCACUUUUUCCAGGGCCAGCAGCUGGAAAGAGGGGCCACAAAACAUCAGCAAGGAAACUGCUGUUCUAAAAGAAAGACACAAGAAGCUGUGCUUCCAGAAGAGAAAAGUAGUCACUGCCACCCCAGGAACCUGGCAUGGAGGGAUGCAGUGGUGUAAUACCACUCUCUCCUUGCACCACCCACAAGCCCAGCCCAUCCUGGGGACAGACGCAUGCUGAAAGUGGAGGUCGGGUCUGGAAGGGCAAAAGCAGAUGGCCCAGCAUAGCCCACCACUUUUCUUUGUCAACAUCAAGUAUUUCUGUGUCUGUACGAAAAACCAAGGUUCUGUCCCAGGGAAAUGACGGAGUCCCAUCAGCUACAGGAUCAUAACAAGGAGAUGUCAAUUCAGUCAUACUCGCCUGAAAGCUACAGCACCUUGAACGGUUCACCCAACCACCUCAUCUGCAUGUGGUUCUCGUGGCACGUAAAGCCCUAACUGGGUGGUCUCAGUUUCACACCGCUAUGACUUUGUUUUCUGCUGGAAGCAGUUCCCCUUAUCACCAGAGCCUCCAAACCUAGAAAAGCCAAGAAAGCAGAGAUGGAAGCAAUUCCUGAUGUGGGCUAUUUGGGGCAAAACUGGUAUCUCCCCUUAUGUCCCCCGUGAGUAAGCAUUCCACAGACAGUUUCAAAACAUUA